rnacentral:lncRNA from 1 species
CCUGCUCCGCAAUCAAAUCUGCAUCCGAAUAUUCUGAGAAGCCUUCCCAAGUUUCUUUCGUCCCAGGAAAUAGUAAAGGAAAACCUUCAUGUUUGCAAAUAGCAGCGUACACGCAGAGAGUGCCUACAAUAUUCAUCAAACUAUAAGGUGAAAACCCAAAUAUUCCGAAAGGUCGAUGUAUGGACCAAGUCAAGCCUUCUCUUUUUUCAACUUCUUCAAACAAUAUGUCUUCUUGAGUAUAGUAAAAAAGUGGUACGUUUAACCUCGGCAAAUCCUCUGUAUAAGGAGGUUCGUGAGACGGUAUCUUGCCAAUACACUCGAAUGGACCCACGUAAUGUUUGCCUCCCGUUUGGAGACAGAUGUGGCGGAGAUUCGGUGCGUUCGGGAUUACAGAACGGAGCACGUUACGAAACAUUGCACCGUUGAUCUGGCAAUUCUCGGCUUCAGUGGGACGGCUGGCCCACGUCACGUAGAAGAUGUGGGUGACGUCAGUGAGUUUUGAGAGCUUGGCUUGUGUCUCUUCCUGGUCAGAAAUGUCGCAUUGGAUGUACUCAAUUGGGCGAUUGGCAUUCCAGUCGGGCCUCGGACGUCGGGCAACUCCGUAGACCUUCCAUGGGCCACCAGGAGUAUCCGAUCGGGGCAUUAUCUCUGCUAGGCUGUUGCCUACAAUUCCUGUCACGCCUAAUAUAAGUCCCACAUUCUGGUAAUCUUGAGGUCGCUGCUUAUCUUCUUCCAAUUUCUUCUGUACAAGUAAAAAUAAAACAAACAUUAUUUUAAAUGUCAGCAUGUUACAUGUCCACUAACUUAACUACAGAGUUGAUGUUUACCUUCGCAGCGCCAAUAUCACCCGCCCACCACCAGCUCAUCUUUUGGUGAAUUUGAAAAUUGAUGAUAGGUUUGGUUUCUGCUUCUAGUUUUAUUUAUAGAGAGGAGUUGACAACUGUGUAAAUAGACUUUCACAAUGUUUUGAAAUAGUUUACAUUAUCAUAAACAUCUAACUCUGUUCACACAUAAAGAGGAGACUGCCAAUUAUACAAGUACUUUCUAGAAGGAAAUUACGUAUUCAACUGAAGUUAGAUUAUGUGAACCAUAUUGAAAGAUCUAAUGCAAUAAUGUCUGGUGAAAUCUAAUGCACUAAUGUGUGGUGAAAUGAGGUUCCUGCUGAAGGCCAACUUCGUACUAUCAUUGUCAGUCAAUUUGCGUGCCCACGGUUCUUCAAGCUCGGUGCCAACUCAAAUAAAUUAGUAGGCCAGUGUCGGUGAUCAUUGCACUAAAAUCGCUCUACGUUUAUUACGGAAGUUUCCGUAGGGGGCCCAGGUUUAAACCUAAAAUCAAAUACGUCUCUCAAUUUUUAAAUUGCUUAUGGCACAGUAGUCUAUAACUUUUCAGCUUUCAAUAUCAAUUUUGGAAAAAAAGGGGGAUUUAAAUUUACUGUCGAGCUGCUAUUUUUACUAAUAUUUUAGAAGCAUAUGGUUGAUAGUUAUUGGAUACAAAUAUAAAACUAAUUGAAUCUUAACUAUAUAUUGUUAUACAUGUACAUGUGGUAGAAGAUUAUGAAUAGUUAAGCAUAGAUCAACUCAGUAUUAAAUCCAAAUUCCAUAAACAGUCCUUUAAUUACUUGUAGUUUCUAAUCUCAUCCUCUCCUGGCAAACGUUAUUAAAAAAAAAGCAAAAGAGAGACAUCCCAUUUAAUUUAGAAGUUGUUUCUCAUUUAAGACUUGUUUGAUAAUGAGAUAUAGUAACUUUUAAUUUACAGUUACGACAAAAAGAAAAAAAGCUAUAAUUAUGAAAUAAUUUUUUUAAAAAAUAAAGAGACUAUUAAUCGACUAGUACUUAGUAUUUUACUGUUGUAGGUUUUAAGUCACUGAUGCCCAACCUCCGUAAGAAAUAGAAUCUUAAUUUAUUUCGCUUCUUUGAGGGUUUGAUAAAGAGAUAUUUGACCUGUUUAUAAGAAAAUAAUUGACAAGACUCUAAAAGCCAAAACAUCAAAUUUUUUCGUUAUCAGAUGGUGUAAAACAUAAAAUGAACACAAUACGCAUAUGUGGUCGGUGGAAAUAUCAAAAUUAUACUCAAAUUGAAAAUCUCAGCCAUUUGCACGCGAACUUUUGGUACAAUUGAUUGUGAAACUUGAUAUACGAAUAAAUGAACUUUUAUUUUUAAUUUCAGGAAAUGGCUAAAGUUGUUCACAUGAAUGAAUGGAAGAUUUUUUUUUUCCUUUCUCAUCUUAUUAAUCCAUCUGAACAAAAAAUUUUAUUUCCUCUAUAAAUCUGCCAUCAUGAAAAAAAAUUUGGCUGUUGUGUAAAAUUUGAAAAUCAUAGAAAAAGUAUAUCAAUAAAACAGUUUACGUAAUUUAUACUCACCAAUUAAUUAGGAAAAUGUAGUAGGUAUAACUUUCACGGAAUCAACAAGCUGAGAUAGAAAGAAGAAAAAGUGUCUAAAUUUAUUAGGCUUUGAUGAAUGUCUCACUAUGUCCGGAAAUUAACUGAGACAACAAUAAUAAAACGAUGAGAUUGAGAGACGUGAAAUUAAGGUUCAUGGUAUGUGAUAAAUGGGUAUGUUGAAUUAAUAUUAACAUUUUCGAUUAAUUGUAUAAAGUUGACUUCAGUUAUGGGCAAUAUUUUUUUUGUUUUAUUGAUAAGGGAAACGAGCCUAGCAAAAGUAGCUAAGGCUUAACAGUAAGAGGGAACGCAGUCCCUAAGGUAUCGCUACGCAGCCAGAAUUCAACACCAGGAGGGGGAAAAAGAAGACUGUGGAGCCCAAGAGGUAACGAGAGAGCAAAAGUAGCAAGAAAAUCAGGUGCGAAGUUUGCCUCACUGUAGAUAUGGUGCACAAAAACCUGCCAAUUUUGAGCGAGAAGAGCCUUGAUACUCUUGACAAGGGGAGACGAAGCAUUAAGCGUAUCAUUUUGAGCCUCCAAAAGCUAAAUCACGCAUAAGCUAUCAGCCUCAACAAUCAUCGAUCUGAUACCCCCGUUCCAUGCCAUGAGGAGACCCUGAUAAAGGCCCCACAGCUCAGCAAUUGUGAUUGAACACAGCCCAAUGUUCAUUCAAAAUCCUUCAACACAUUCUCCACAAUUGUUUCUGAUUAAGCCACCAGCAGAAGCCAAAUCCGAGGCCUUACGAGCUCCAUCCGUGUUCAACUUGAAGAAAGGCUACACAGGAGGCACGAAGCCAUAGUACAUCUCUACUCUCGUGGGCUUGUCCGUUAUGGCAAUUUAAUACAUAUUGUUAUUAAAAAGUAGUGCUAAGAGAUUAGUGUUAAAAAUUGUAUGUUUAUUAAGGGGUAAAAAUGUUAUUUUGUGCUAAUAAUAUAAUUUACGUUUGUAAAUAUGUAACAUAUUAUGAAUUUCUAAUUAUUUUUCUAAAUAUUUGAUUUUGUGUGUUUAUUAGGUAAAAAUAAUAAUUUCACACAAUUUGAGACUCCAAAUAAAUGUACGGAUGUCAAAUUUGGAUUCCGAAAGCCUGAGAAAUGAGGUCCUUGUCGAUCAGGAUCUGCGACUUUUGUUGUAAAUUUAUAAGUUGUUACCAAGGUAAAUGUGGUAAUUGUGAAAUUAUAAACUUUUACUAUAUUAGGUGUGGUAAUUGUUAGUGGCAUGUGUUAGAUGUGCUUGAGUGGAUUAAGUUAGGUUUAUGUUUUAUUAGUAUGACAAAUACAUGGUUAAGAUAUACUUAGCUUUAUUUAUUUGUGUGGUGUGGAUUAAUCAUGUAUUAGUAUAAAUAGAUAGGGGGGAACACACCUCUUCACACAUUUCCUUCUCUGCUUUCCCCUCAAAUUCUUCUUCUCAUCUCUCUUUGUAAUAAAGGGGGGAACACACCUCUUCACACAUUUCCUUCUCUGCUUUCCCCUCAAAUUCUUCUUCUCAUCUCUCUUUGUAAUAAAUUUUCAAUAAAUAAAAUUAGUUUUAUUUUCAAUUUUCAAAUACUUUUUUUCAUUAUGUUGUUUUUUUUUAAUUUUAAUAAUUCCUUUUAUUUCAAAUAUGUUUAGCUAAAUACUAAUAGUUAGGGGAAGAUGAAACUCUUAGUAAAAAAAUAGGAUUUAAACAAAUUCUAUUUUUAAUUAUAGAAAUUAAUUAUUUUCCAUCUAAUUUUAUCCAUAUUUUAUAUUUUGAAAUUUUGAUUUAUUGUAGACAAACAUGGGGUUUAGCAUAAUGAAUUUUUAAUAUCUUAGUAUAAAGUAUGGUAAACUAGUAUUUUAACUUAUUGUAAACAAAUUAAAUUUUGGUACACUAAGUACUUAGUUCGUAAUAAAAUUAUUGGGAAAAUAAUUGUAAUUUAUACAAUUAAUCAUUUGGACAAUAACCUAAAAAUAAAAAGAAUUUAUUAAAUUGUAUUUGUUACUAAGAGGGGAUCUAGAACCUAACUAAUUUAAUUUUAUAGUUUUGAUCAAAUUAAACUGCACAUUUUAAAAUUUAUUUUCAUUAUUUUAAAAUAAAAAAAAAUUAAAUAUUUUCUCUGUAGAUCGACCUCAGAUUCAGUGACUCACCGAGCUAUAGUUUAACUAGGCACUCUUACACUUGGGAGUAAAUUAAACACUUUUAAGUCGUGCACUUAGAUUAGCUUUUGCUGCUAUUUAAACCCACUAAUUUCUUCUCUAUAACUAUUUUAAAAAAUAACUUUAUCAUUAAAGUUUUAAAAUUUGAAAAUCUCGAAAUUACCCCACCAAUUACUUUCUUUCUCUACUUUACAAUUACAUACUCUCCCAUUAUUCUCAUAUAUAGUCUACAAACAAAACACUCAAUUUCACUUUCUUUUGAAUUUUUUUUAACAUUUCUUAGUAUAUUAUGAUCUAUAUUUCAUGCUUUCUGUAUAUAAGAAAUUUUUUCCUUAAUAUUCAUUAGCUUUUGUGUUUAGUAAAAAUUAAUUUCUUGAUAUUCAUUCAUUUUCAUGACUGAUAAAAAUUUGUUGAUAUUCAUUUUUAAAUGAUGGAUUUUGUUCUUCUUAGUUAGUAAUACUUAUUCUUUAUAGGUAAAAGAAUAUAUUUGAAUGGAUUGAAGAGAAUUUGUAAAAUUAAGAAGAGAAAGAGAAGAGAGGAUUAAUUAAGAAAUUUUUUAAAAAUUAUUUAGAUAAUAAAGUUCUUAAUUAAAAUGAGGGUUUAGAGAGGAAAUCGAUAAGUUCAUAUAGCUCUUCCUUAGUUUUUAGAGUGCAAAUUUUAAUACCCUUAUAGUUUUGUGUGUUAUGGCUCCUUAAGUAUGUAGUAUUACAAGCAAGUGAUCCAAAUUCAAUUUGAUAUUUGUCUUUCUACAUUCUGGUGGGGUUGUAUUGCAUAAUCGAUGCAAAGGGCUCACUCAUGUUUGGCUUACAUAUAACUCCUAAUGAGCUAGAUUCUAUCUAAAACUAAUGUUGGGGAAUUUUAAUUCCACUCAAGAUCUUGAAAAUAAAAAUAUCAAAUAAAUAAUUAAUAAAAUAUACAGAUGAAGAAUAAAAUCAAUCCACUACAAGAAAAAUGGCCUACUAUGACAGGCAAAAACGGUUAUCUUAGGGGGUGGAUGACGGUUAUCCUUACUGUCAUUGUAGCCAGCGUCAAGAAAAGAUAACAGACAGAAACCCGUCACAAGUUGUGAUAAAUUUUACCUGUCAUAAUUCAGUCAUACAACUUAUAUAAGGGAAAUUGGCUUUUUUUAAUUUUUAUGUUUUAUGAAAUUAAAACUGUAAUUAGUAUUUGUGGAUAAAAGUUGUGUGUCAAAUGUUGUGACUAGUAUUUUCAAUCACAAUUUUUUUUAAAAUUGACUAUUUAUUUUAUUUAUUAAUUUAAAAAAUAAAAAAUAUGCAAUUUUAGUUUCCUCAAUUUAAAAUUUAAAUUAUAAAUUUUAUAUCAAAGAAAAUAAAUUAAUAAAUGCAAUCAAAUCCAAAACUAAUGAACUAAAUUAGUGAACUUUAUUAUCCAUAAAAAUAUCCAAAGUACUUCUAAAUUUCAAAAACAUACAAUUGAAACUUUACAAUUCAAUAGUUAAUCAAUAUUUCAAACUCAAGCCAACAGCCAAAAAAAGCCAAUCCAAAACCAAAGCAAAGUACUCAGCAUUCAGCAACAUCCAGCACUAAAGCUAUGCAAAAUGUAGUCCUUUUCUAGCAGCAAAAUCCAGCAGCCCCCAAGCCAAGAAAGAAGUAUCCCAUUUCAUCAAUUGAAAAUAUUAAGUGAAAUAUAAGCAUUUACACAUGAAAAUAUUAAGAAUAACAUCUACAAAAAGGAAAAAAAAUACAAGUAAUAAUAGAAUACGAAAAUACUCAGUGAAAACUAAGGCGAGACCCCUUUUUUCCCUUCUCUGGAGUAAGGCACUAAAAGGGAUUAAAGAAAUUAUGAUUGUGUUCCACACCUGGAGCUGGUAGAGACAAACUCUGGUCAUGUAAUAUUUGCCUUGGCACCGUUUGAAUAUGUCUAUAUUAGUAUCCACAAAUUCAAGGAAGAUGAUUGGCCUACCUCUUACAUAUAUCAUAUUCAAGUCCAAACAGCUUUAUUCCUCGUGGGAUUUAUUUGAUCAAAUUAAUAGUUCAGGAUGAAAAAUGGUUAGAACCUCACAGUCAUCAAAAGUUACUGUCUCAUAAUUCAUUUUAGUGCUUAUAACACAGAGGAAAUAAAAUAAAAUAUCUAAACAUACAUUUAUCAUGUAUGUAAACAUUUUUUUUCUUUUCUUUAAAUACAGAGAGGACAGUAGUUAGUUAUUUAAUUGAAAGGAUGCAUAGAAAGUUUCUUUAAACCAAUACUAGUGGUUAAGUCUCAAAAAGAAAUAUUAGUCCAAAUUCAUUACUUCCAAUCAAGCAAAAGCAUGCAGUAUCAAACAGGAAAUGCAUCCUCAGGACCCAUAAGCCAAUUUGUACUCCAUUACUAUCAAUUUCCUAGCUGGUCAAUUUUUUAUUUUUUAUUUUUAUUUUUUUGUGGGUAUCUCUUAGGUAUCGAAAGUCAAACCCUAAGUAAUCAAACAAAUUCAGAUAGUGCUUACCCAAUACAAGAUAUUGGAGAUUAAAUCCAAGAGUAACGGAAUGCAGAAAGUACCUUUUUUGAAGAAAAUGUCAGUGACGUCUUUCGAAGGUAAGGGUCCCAGUAAACAACAGGAUCCACUUUCUGAUUCAGCACAACAUUUCCACAUUUCCAAUCAAGGGAGCUUGAUAAAUACUGGAUGAUGUUAAGACCAAAAUCAGUUUUAAACGAUUUGUCUUCCAAGAUCGUACAACACGCAGGGAAAAUGCCAGUGAGUGGGUGAUCAUAUCUCUUCCUCCAGCGAGGAUAUUAUUAUAUAUACAUAUAUAUGCACACUAUAAAACUACUGAUCAUACAUUCAUCCAUUAAUAAUUUUUAUUUUAAUCGUCUGCACAAAUUAAAGGGAAAUGAUCAGCCUAUCCUCGACCUCAAGCAUGCACCAAUAGCAUUACAAAUAAUUAAACUUUUCUCCAAUCAAAUUUCUUAACUAGCUAAUAGGAAUGAUAAUUAGUAAUAAUAAGAGAUUAAUUAGAAACUUCAAAGAAAUACAACGUGUGCAUAAGAUUUAAUUCCUCAGUUCAUGUUUUUCUAAUAAUUUCAAGAUAACUAGCUUAUUUAUUUAUCAGCACAAGAUGAAGUCAUUUUAACUAUAUGUAUCUACUUUUACAAGCUAGGUAGGAGUACUAGAACUAUUGUUUAUGAAAUUAUAUUUAUAAAUAAAUACUUGUGUAUGCAUGUGAUCAAUAUAUAUAUAUAUAUAUAUAUAUAUAUAUAUGCACACACACAAAUUACAAGAUUGAUUGAUCGGGCUGAUGGAUAUAUCUAUGUAUGCAUGCAUUUAUUCCUUAGUUUUUUUCUUUAAAUUAAAUUGUAAUUCUCAAAAAAGAAAAAGAAUAAUCACAGCAACAGGCAUUUAGUCCUUAGUUUUGGAGGAUCUGUCCUUCUCCUUCCUCUGUCCUCCAAGAAUACGAGAAAUCUGUAAACCUUUAUGCACUAAAUACUUAGUUGAACAACAUUCUUGUUUGAAAUUCUAAAACAAAUGGGAACCACGCCAAGAAUGCAACCGGGGUGAAUAGAAGCAAUCCCAUCACUAUUUCAUAACCAUGAGCAAGUGUCCUAACUGAUCCCCAAAUUCCACCAUGUUGUAUCACUGGCUUACAAGCUUGUAAGAUCUAUAUACAGUUCCACGCAUCCAUAAAAAGAAAAAAGAUUACUUAUUAGAAAAGCCCCAAUGAUAAGCAAGCCUGGUCAAUAUCCCAACACCCAUCACGAUUAAAUUGGCAAGGAUCUUCAUAGCCUAAAUCAAAUUUAAUGAUAAAACUAUAAUAAUUGAAUUCCAAAAAAAAUCAAAUAAAUGUUUAAAAUUUCAAAAAUAAUUAAACAUAAAAUACCAAUCAAGUAGAUCCAAAUUUAACAAGAGCACACCGAGGAUUUUCAAAUUUUACAUGUAUAGGGUUUAAAUUUGAUGACAACACAUCUAGGGUUUUCAAGAUUUAGGUGUCUAGGGUUCGAAUUUGACAAGAACACAUCUAGGUUUCUCAAGUUUUACAUAUCUAGGGUUUGAGUUUGACAAGAACAUUAAAAUUGAAAUGGAACACAACACUAGAAACAUUAUUUACCUGUAUUAUUCAAACGAUUGCAGCAGUGGGUGAGUGAAUGAAACGACCCUCCCCGAACCCCAGGGUAAGUGUAUCUAACCUCAUCCAAACUGGAUUGAUAAUAAUCUAAUUAGUAAGGAUUUUGCCAAAAAAUCGACAGUCUCUUUUAUAUAUAUAACACUCCCAACCUGCAAAUAUAUAAGACAAGCACUCCCAAUAUAAUUCAAUACACAACAAACUCCAACGUUCAACAUCCUCAACCACAACACUGAGCUUUACUCAAGAUAUCUCCAGAAUCUCAAAAGAUAAUAUUAUAACUAAUAUUAAUAUCUCAGUUUAUUCUUAAUCCCAAAAGAAUAAUAUAACAAAAUUAUACAAUCCCAAAAGAACGAGAUAACCAAGAUGUCCUAACAAAAUCAUCUAUAUCUUCUAACACCAUCACGUGGCCAAUACUCAAAAUAUAUUUACAGUCGUUGGGUUGGUCUAAUGUACCUGCAACCUCCUGAUGGGGGGGAGGAAUAUAAUAAAAAUGGAGUGAGUAUAAAACUCAGUGAGAUCAGUGAGUGGAUAGUAGUUUUUAAAAAUCAAUUAUUACUUCAAAAGAAAUAAUCAUAUCAUUUCCAAACACGAUUUCAUCAAACCAUAUGCGAGAAACCAGUAAUAAAUCAUUUAACAUUUAAAUCAAAUUACUAACAAUGAAAAGCAUAUAGAAUACACAAAUCUGAAAAUCAUCACCAAACAAGUACCCAGGGAAAUAACCUCGUCAUAUUCGGACCUCAACGGACGGGCAAUGACGUACUAUCUAGGUACCGUCACGCCCCGGAGCUACACGGAUAGACAGGGAAAUAUCAUCUCAUAUCUCAUCAUAUCUGUGCAUACAUAAUCUAGUUCCCAAGGGAUAAAAGCACCCAAGCACACAGCCCAAAGCCUCUGUGUGUGCUCAGACGGGCCCCAAAGGCCUAUAUCUCAUAUGUAUUAUAUGUAUCUCAAUAUCUGUCUAUAUCUCAUAUUUGUAUAUUUGUAAUCAUCAUACUGCAUGCAUAUGCCCCCAAAAGACAAAAAUGCUCAAACACACGGUCCAAAGCCUCUAUGUGUGUUCAGAUGGGCUCCAAAGGCCUCUCAUCUCAUAUCAUGUGUAUCACUAUAUCUGGAAGGGAAUGGUAUUGUCUAAUGAUUUCAAAAACAAUCAUUAUACUCAUAUUCACAUACCUUUUACCCAUACUUUAAAUCAUAUCACAUUUGAAUCCACUUUUCUUAUCUUUAAAAUACUAUCAUGCUUAUUCAAAGUCGAUACGCAAAAUCAUUAACCAAACAUUUUAAUAAAAUACCAAUGCGUGAAUAAAAUCUAUUUCAAGGGAAUCAUUAAAUCAGAACAUUUAAAAUACUUAUUUCUCAAAUAUGCUUUACUAUUAUAAUUAACUAUGAAAUUAAGUUUUGUAUAUUCCACUCACAGUGACGGUGUUCACGCUCGUUAUCGUCCACGUCCGCGGACCGAUUCUCGCUUGCGAAUCCCCCUAAAUUAUGGAAACGACAUAAUUAUUUUCUGUAAAUCGAAAUUACGACUAAAUUUAUGCAAUAAACUCGAAACGAAAUUCGAUCCAUAAUUUACAACUCUCGUGUCGAUAAAAUUACUAAAAUACCCUUGAGUUCGUAAAUCAUUAACAUACUCUGAAAUCGUAAAUCACCGAAUUACCCUCGGAAUCAUAAUUACACCCAAUCCUCAAUUCUAGGAAUUACUAAAAUAUCCACAGGCUCAUACUAAAAUAUCCACAGGCUCAACGGAAUCAUAAUUACACCCAAUCCUCAAUUCUAGGAAUUACUAAAAUAUCCACAGGCUCAAAAAUUACAAAAUUGCCCUUAUAGUGUGAAAUUACCGAAAUGCCCUUCCAGGUCAAUGGUCACCAAAAUUUAGUCAACGCUGGCCGAGAAGGUCAAGUCUGAAAUUUAUGGUCACACUGAGUCCAACGGUGGCAGUGGUGACCUCCCACGCGCGGUGAUGGCUCCGGAUCGAGCUCCCAAAGUUGUAACUCCUUCAACCGAUCAACGGCAAAACGAUGUCCCUGGUGGCAGUGGAUGGUCGUAAAUGGAAGAGGGAGUCUCGGGGAACAAAAUCCAACCGGUGGUGUUACCCAAAAUCGGCGAAAAUCCCAGUGGAGCAAAGUGGAAAAGUCGAGGGUUUUCAAGCUUUGGUCGCCGGCAUUUUGGUUGUUUUUCGGUGACGUGGACGGCAAGGGUAUAAUGGCCGGUCUUCAAGCUUCAAAUUGGUACCAAGCUUGACCGGAACGGUGGCCAGAAAUGGAAGUUACGACCGAGUCAAGGUCGCGGGUUCCAGGUCGGGUUUGAUAGCUUCUCUCUCACUCUCUCACACGUGUGUCUCUGUUUUGCUCUGUUUUCCAACUUCCUCUUUUACUUAUUCUAACUUUUUAACCACCUCAUUUUAUUCCUUUAUUUAAUUCACAUAUGUUACAGUGAAGGUUCUCAGUUAGGGUAUUGAAAUUCAAUAGUGGCAGAACACGCGUUUGAUAGGCACUCCUUGUAGUUCUUGGUGAGGGCCUAAAUCAACGGUGAAAUACAAGAGAAUGUCGGCGGCAGUUCAGUGCCUAUGCAAGGAUUUUGGGCGAAAAGGGCUUUGUGAGCGUAAGAUUGAUGAGAGUGACUAAGCAAGAGACAAGAGUAAAAGUGCCAAUACUCACUGAGAAAAAAAAAUUACGAUGAGUGAUAACUAAAGAGGGUUUCAUUUUUAUUUAGUUUUAAUCUAAACGGUGUCGUUCCUUGUUUAAAGAGAAAACUUUUAACCCAAAUGGUACUGUUUAUUCUUUAUUUAUCUUUUUCAUUCAUUUUAAAAUUUUCAGUCAACCCUGCAAAAUAAACUCAAAAUAAAAAUAUUGUUUGACGACCAAAAUUAUAUCACAAACUUGUCAUUGUUUUUUGAUAGCCAAAUAAUUUAUCACUAGUCUAUCAUAAGUGCUUGAUAGAUGAAAUUUAUAUCACAAGUAUGUCAUAAACGCAUGACAAAAAAAAAAUAUCAUCGAUCUAUCGUUGUAACUCUCAACACCAAAAACUGUCACAUAAAGGACUGUCAUAAUAGGUCCUUUUUCUUGUAGUGAUCAAACAAUACAAAAAUUUAUGAAAAAAACUCUUGUACCAGAGAAAAUCAUGCAACUAAGGACAAUGAGGGAAAAAUUUACUACAUGGAAAAUUAUUGCAAUUACUUGAGUAUUUUCCUCAAACCCCAAAUCCUAAUAACACUCAUUCUCUCAAUAGUCUUAUUGUUUCUCUUACAUUAGAAAUUGUCUACUUGCUUAUUUUUAUAUGACCAAGCAAACCAAACAUCCUCAUAUACAGUGAUUAUUUCUUAUAGGAGAAGUUUUUAUUUCCUUAUAUAAAUUAUAUUCCUCUUUGAAUAAGUUAUGUCCCAAAUGAGGAAUUUCUUAUUCCUCAAAUAUGAAUUCUCCAAAAUAAGAAAAUAGCCUUGAAAACCCUUAUACUGGAAAAAGGAGACAUAUUUCCUAACAAUCUCCACCUUAACAAGUUUUUUGAUUAAGUGAAAAAAAAAAUAUAUAAUCCACCGUGUAUCCACACAAGCAUGUUGUCUGCAUCUUCUUUCCUCCACCAAAAUCACAUUCAUAUAGGGCUUAUGAGAAUCACUCUAUCAUGGGUAAAAUCUUGUCACGACUAUAAUUCUCCACAUUGAAAAUCAUCAUACUCCACUUUAUAUAGAGUACACAUAUUCAGCACAUCUCGGUCACCUUGCUGAAAAUCCUACUCUCAUGUUUGGCUUCCUUAAGAGUCAUCAACCAUUAACAUAAAAAUUCUACCAUACACCUUGUAUAAAUGUCAAACUAUGUCUUGCGUGUAAAUUUAUGGACCUGCUAGCAGUAACACAUUCUCUUUCAUGACACGCCAAAAAGGAUAAAUUAGUCUCUCGUGAAGAAAAGAGACACACCACUAGAUGAGAUUACUAGUAUUUCCAUCUACUAAUUUAAAUCUACUUGCCAAACCUGCCUCAUUCCAACAAUCUUUAUUAAGAUGCCUUGAUUGUCUACACACCUCUAGGAGUUUCCAUCAGUGGGAACAUGGUUUACAUCGUCUUUACUUUCAUUGUUUAACAUAGAUUGGAUAAACAUAUAUCUUUGACUUCAAUCUGUCCCAAGCCAAAACUUUUUCUCCCAUUAAACUUUCUAUUUUACCUUCACAAGUUUUGAAACCCUCUUUGCUGAUAUAUUUGCUCUGCAUUGCAACCUUAACUUUAAUACCACUUGUUACAAAAUUUUAAUUCGAUCCAAGAUCUUGCAAGUAAAAAUAUCAAACAAAUAAUAAAUAGAAAAUACAGAUGAAGAAUAAAACUAAUUAUACAACAUAAGAAUUUUAAAUGGAAACUCUAAUACAGGAGAAAAACUAUACUGUAAAAAAAAAAGACAUAAAAUUUUAUUAUGUGAAAAAUUAUUUCAACUACUCUGGCAUUUUUCUCACAGCCAAAACUCCAAUAACACUAAAUCUCUCAAUAGACAUAUUGUUUCUCUCACAUUCAAAAUUGUUCACUUGCUAAUUUUUAUAUAACAAGUGAACCCAACCUCCUUAUAUAUAAUGAUUAUUUAUUUCUUGUAGGAAAAAUGUUCAUUUUCCUUGUACAAGUUGUAUUCCUCUUUAAAUAAGUUAAGUCUUAAAGGGAAAGUUACUUAUUCCUUAAAUUGGAGUCCUCCAAAAUAAGAAAAUAAUAUAGAUAAGAAAUUCUUAUUAAAAAAAGAAAACAUAUUACUUAACACCUAUGCAGUGGUAAAGAAUCAACCGCAACACUAUUUUUGUUUACCUUAUAUCUACCAUCAAAGCUUCGGUAGGAUUAAAUAUAAAGGUAAAUUUUUCUGCACACGCAUUAAAAUCGACAUAAACAAUUUACUACUCUUCCCCAAGAAUUAUGAGAAUAGGCUAUGAACAAUCUUUUAGAAUUUCUAAGUAUUGACAGCUCUGACUCAAUAAAAUUACAAUUAUACUCCCUAACCGGAAUAAUUAUGAAAAAAUGACAUAAAUGCCCAAACCUUUAUUUUAAUUUCAUUUCUCACCCAUUAUCUUUCUCUCUCCUCUCUCUAAAUAAUGCUCUCCAGUUAAAAAAUUAUGGAUGUUUCAUUCUAAUGGAUUAUAUUUUCACAAUUUAUUUUUCUUUCCCAUUUUCCUUUUCAUGUCCUUUGAAUCAGUUAGUUACGACGGACUAACAAAUUAAAGAAGCAUUGGACUGGGAUUAGGCUUUGAACGUCGAGUGGUCAUAACUUGAAGGCAUGUAAUCAGAAAUGUAAAAUGAAUGCUUUUAAGCUCGAAAUUCAGUACAGUUUUUGACUAUUGGCACACCUCUAACUUUCUCGUCAAACCCCUUUUCUAUAGAUAUCCUUUUUAAUUCUUAAAAUAACCUCAUUUGCUAUACUUUCUUAAUAAACCACUGCAUAGGACGAAAAAACAAAAACUUCUAUCAAUGAGCUCUCUCUCUCCCCUCUCCCAUUUCAAGCACUUACAAUUUCUUAUUGACUAUAGCAUUCAUGAAUUUCUGAUUUUAAUCUCUAUCUAUCUUUAUUUUUCUUAGUAGGUAAUAACUUGAUUAUGUAUACAAAGACAAGUAUAUGCAUAUCUGAAAGAAAAACUUGGCGUAAGUAAAUAAAUUUCACCGAAUAAUCUUUCCUAAAAUAACUUAGUUUAUAUUUAGAUCAAAUUCUUAUCUUAUGAGAAUUCAUUGUUUUCUCAAAUUUUGUAGAUUUUAAAGUGUUUUAGAAUGGAGAAAAAAACUAAGAAAACAACAUAGGUUAGUUUAAUCAGAUAAGUUUUAUUUUUAAUAUAAUUUAAAAUAUAAAGAAUAAAUUUAUAAAUAUAAAAUAAGUGGAAUUUCAUAAGAGAUAUAGAGGAGUGCGAAUAGCGCCACUCUUUUAUUUAACUCAUUAACAAUAACAAAGGCAGCAGUUUUUCUUUUUUUUUAAUCUUUUUUCCCCCAGAAACGACACUUUUCAUUGAUUGGAAAGCAAAGAACAAACGAAAGCUGCUUUUCUUCCAGCCAAACAAUCUCAAUUUAAACUAUUAAUUGGAAGUUUUAACUAAGGCACCAAAUUAAAAUAAAUAAAUAAAAUUACUUAAGGCACAAUCCUGUGACUUUUUAGCCUACCAAUCCAAGUGACGAAGGAAUUCUUAGAAUUCCUGAAACCCAAGAACCCGUGCUCCUUACUCUUGUUCAUGCUAACUAAAUAACCCGCACCAAUAUUCAACCCCAUAUCUGCAUAUGACCAAACAGCAACCUCAUUCAAUUUCGUUGGCUGAAGCUGAUUCUCUCUCACAAUCUCCUCCCACACACUUUCUUUACCUUUCAUAAAUUCCCCCAAUCUCAUCCUCUCACUAUCCUUUUCAUCUCCAAACCCAUAAUUCUCAAUCUCAAACUGCUCAGCCAACGCUUUCCAUAAAUGCUUCCACUUAAAAACAUCUCCAUUGGUACAAUUGAAAGCUUCGUUUCUUGCAUUAGCAUCAACUGCCGCCCAAAUUUGCUGCUCCGCAAUCAAAUCUGCAUCCGAAUAUUCUGAGAAGCCUUCCCAAGUUUCUUUCGUCCCAGGAAAUAGUAAAGGAAUGCCUUCAUGUUUACAGAUAGCAGCGUACAUGCAGAGAGUGGCUAUAAUAUUCAUCAAACUAUAAGGUGAAAACCCAAAUAUUCCGAAAGGUCGAUGUAUGGACCAAGUCAGGCCCUCUCUUUUCUCAACUUCUUCAAACAAUAUGUCUUCUUGAUUAUAGUAAAAAAGUGGUAUGUUUAACCUUGGCAAAUCCUCAGUAAAAGGCGGAUCGUACGGUAUCUUGCCGAUACAGUCGAAUGGUCCCAG